rnacentral:lncRNA from 1 species
UUUUUUUUUAAGUCUGCGAACUAGAAAUUCUAGAUAAGGAAUUCUGUUAACCCGGGAGAAGGUGUUAGGUAUUUCCGGGUUCUGUGGUUCUAGCACGGUCGCUUAGCGAUUAUUACUUGACUUAAAUCGUCUAAUUACUUAUUUUUUAGGACCUAUAUGCAUUUAUAUUUUUACCGCUUUUAAUCACUUAAAUUAUUCAUAAUUAAAGAACUGAGUUACGCGUAUGUAUACCCUUUUCUUUUGGCGCGUUAAAAUCAUGUCACGCGAACGUAUCCAUGAUUAAUAAUGCUUUUGUUGAUUUAUUAAGAAAGUUUGGUUGAAGUUGCGCGAGCAACUACUCCUCUAAUUUAGGUCACGUAACCUUGAAUCACGGCACAUACAAGUAUUAAUUUCAAAGAGGUAAAAGAUUGGAAUUUAAAGUCCUUCAAAGAAUCAGUGGAGCUUGGUCUAAAGAAAUUAACAUUUUUGCUUUGAGUUUUGUUACUGAUCGAAAUGAAUGAACAUCACACUUAAACACGAUCUAAUAUUAGUCUUCUAUCAUUGUAUGCUUUAUUAAUUAACUAAUGAAUUCACAUUUCAGAAUGCAAAUUGAGUUGCUCUGUAAUGGAUUAAAUAUUAGCUCAAAGAUCAAUAUCUUGAUAUAAGCAACCACAACGUCCACGAAUAUAAUCCAAAAAAAAAACACUUGAACCAAAAUAAUCUCAAAAUAUAUUACAAGAAAUAAAUCAACUAUUGCUAUGAUUGACAUCCAUAAUUUACAAUUUAACUCAUUUGGGCAUAUCCCGUAUAUUAGACAGAGAAAUUAAGAUUGAAUCUUUACCCAACACCAUCUUUUCGGUCGAAUUGGAAUAAGGUACUGAUUUUCAUAUGCAUUGACUAAUUUCUAUCAAAGAGCCAAAAACAAAAUAAAACAUUGAAGCUCAAAACAAAUAUAAAAAGUGAAAGGAAGAAAAAACAAUAAAAAAAAAGGCCAAGGAUAACAUACCAAGCAAACGAAAGCACCAAAAUUAAAAAAACAAAAGUAGCAGUAGAAUCACGUUUCAAUGGUAUUCAAAUAACUUCAGAAAUAGACCAUGUAGAGCUAAACAAAAACUAAGGGAUUUCAUUGUGUACCUAUGAUUCAGGUGACAGUAGAGUCACAAAAAAAAAAAAAACAAAUGAAGGCAGAAGAGAAAGAAGUCAGAGCUCAGCUAGCAGCAGUCCAUGGACCCAGCAAUCAACAACGAACAUCUCUGGAUUUCAAUUUGAAGAUCAGCUUCGAAUCCUCCUUCAUUUCUCCGUUUUCUUCUUCUUUUUCUUCUUUUUUUAUUUAAAUUGAGAUUUUCAGAUUGUUUUCUUUGGGAAAAAUCAGUGAGGAUGGGUGGAAGGUGUCUCGCGGCACCUAGUAUGGAGAAAGAGAGGUCAGUCGCUGUUGGGUGGUCUUCAACGGAGAAGAAGAAGAGGAGAAGAGGCUGCUUUAGGAGUUUUUCUUUUCUUUUUUGGAGAGAUCCGCCGCUUUUGGUUCUAAUGAAGGGGUCUCAUGAUCUGAUCCCUUUGGUUAUCAG